CAACAUGCUGACCAAUAUCAGUGUUGGAAUUUUCAACAAUAUCAGCACGCUGACGAAUCUUGGUCUUUCAGGGAACAAGCUUAAAGUGAUCAGAGCCGAACCUUUUGAAGGAUUAUCGUUGCUUCAAAGCAUUUUUCUYGAAGGAAACCAGAUACACCACAUCGAGAAAGAUGCGUUCAAAGAAUGUAAAGAUCUUACCAGUCUAUCACUGGGGAGAAACCGUUUGACAACUCUACCUGAUGGAUAUCUAUUGCAACUAAAGAACUUGAAAACCCUGUAAGAAAAACUCCAUUCACGACGCUAGUAGUCAUACAGAGUAAUCAGUUCACAGAUAUUCCCGAUUUUCCCGAUUUCGAUAAGAAUCCC